GACGAACGCUGGCGGCGUGCUUAACACAUGCAAGUCGAACGGGCCCGCCCCUGUUUUUGGGGGUGGGUUGAGUGGCGAACGGGUGAGUAUCACGUGAGUAACCUGCCCCCUGCUCCUGGAUAACUGCUUGAAAGGGCGGCUAAUACGGGGUGUGCCGGCUGGUCCGCAUGGGCCUGGUCGGGAUAGUUUCAUCUUCGGGUGUUUCGGUGGGGGAUGGGCUCGCGGCCUAUCAGCUUGUUGGUGGGGUGAUGGCCCACCAAGGCGGUGACGGGUAGCCGGCCUGAGGGGGUGGGCGGCCACACUGGGACUGAGACACGGCCCAGACUCCUGCGGGAGGCAGCAGUGGGGGGUAUUGCACAAUGGGCGGAAGCCUGAUGCAGCGACGUCGCGUGAGGGAUGGAGGCCUUCGGGUUGUGAACCUCUUUCUCCGGUGGUGAAGGCCCUGUCCGUUGCGGCGGGGUUGACGGUAGCCGGGUAUGAAGCGCCGGCUAACUACGUG
rnacentral:rRNA from 1 species